rnacentral:misc_RNA from 1 species
AACGCACCUUGCGCUCCUUGGUAUUCCUCGGAGCAUGCCUGUUUGAGUAUCAUGAAAUCUUCAAAGCAAAUCCUUUUGUUAACUCGAUUGGGUUCUGCUUUGGUAUUGGAGGUCUUUGCAGCUUCACACCCUGCUCCUCUUUGUUCAUUAGCUGGAUCUCAGUGUUAUGCUUGGUUCCACUCGGCGUGAUAAGUUAUCUAUCGCUGAGGACACCGUAAAAAGUGGCCAAGGUAAAUGCAGAUGAACCGCUUCUAAUAGUCCAUUGGCUUGGACAAUAAUUUUUAUGAUCUGAUCUCAAAUCAGGUAGGACUACCCGCUGAACUUAA